AAGCCAUGAUGGGGAUAUCUUCGAAGAAGGUCUUUGAAUCUCUCAUAUGCCUCAAAUAAUGUCUCUGACUCUCCUUACUUAAAUGUUGAAAUUUCUUGUCUUAGCUU